ACGCGGGGAGGGAAGGUCUGUUGCCCGCGCGCGGGCCCGGACUGCGCGCCUCCGACCUAAAACAACCAGAGCCCUCCUCCUCCAGCCUUCCCUAUUUUACGUACUGGGAAACUGAGAUACAGAGAAAGGCCCGGAGCCGGCCUCUGAUGCCUCACUUCCAAGGUUCGGCGGGUGACAUGGGGCCAGCCCUCCUCCACCAAUUGUUCUCCUGGGAGACCCACCCUUCCUUACUUAUCAAAAGUCACAAAACAACUUCAGAAGUGAAAGAAGCAGGAAAAAGAAAAUAACAAAAACAAACCAAUACCUGAACAAUUCAACCAAGAGAGAUCCAAGUGAGGCAUGUCUGCGGCUACCACAGAGGGGAAACUGAGGCGUGGAAAAUGAAGUCCGGGGGAGAGAUCCUGCUCCAGGAGACAGAGGAAGAGGAGCCUAAGGUCCUACCCUUGGGGAAUGCCUUAUGCUGGGCACAGACAGGGAUGACUCAGGAGGGAGCUCCUUUCCUCAGAAUCCCAGGGCUCAUUAUGAUCCAGGGGGUCAGCGGUCUGUCAUCAUGCGGCUUGGCAUCGUGGUACAGCAAGUCUGGGAGACUCCAGAGGGGAGGACCGCCCCCUCCCCCAUUUACUCUGUAACAGCAGCCACAGUUUCUUGGUCAAAUGCCUACUGCCAUAUCUGUGUGCAUGUGUGUGUCCGUGUAUAAGAGCACGUGAGUGUGUGUGCUGUG